rnacentral:rRNA from 1 species
GAAUCUUCCACAAUGGACGAAAGUCUGAUGGAGCAACGCCGCGUGAGUGAAGAAGGUUUUCGGAUCGUAAAACUCUGUUGUGAGGGAAGAACAAGUAUGAGAGUAACUGCUCGUACCUUGACGGUACCUCAUUAGGAAGCCACGACUAACUACGGGCCAGCAGCCGCUGUAAUACGUAGGUGGCAAGCGUUUUCCGGAAUUGUUGGGCGUAAAGCGCGCGCAGGCGGUCCUUUAAGUCUGAUGUGAAAACCCACGGCUCAACCGUGGAAGGUCAUUGGAAACUGGGGGACUUGAGUACAGAAGAGGAAAGCGGAAUUCCAAGUGUAGCGGUGAAAUGCGUAGAGAUUUGGAGGAACACCAGUGGCGAAGGCGGCUUUCUGGUCUGUAACUGACGCUGAGGCGCGAAAGCGUGGGGAGCAAACA